UUUCUAGCAUCAAGCUUUAUUAACAAAUGUCAAGAGUACAGGAAAUCAAGCGACAAAGCAGACAAAGGUCUGGGGCAUUUUUGUAAGGUCCUUUCUACCCCACCAGCCCAGGACAACAGAUCAAAAUUUCUGUGGGAGGUUUUGCGGAUUAUUACCUCACGGAAGAGGGGGCGUGUGUUUUUUGUGAAACAUCUUCAUUUUAUACCUCCACGAGUUGUGUAGGUUUGAUGACAUGAUCCUGGGAAGCCAUGUCCUAUAAAUCAACAGACUCUGGGUUUAUUUACUGGAGGCGAUUUUUACUUAGGGAGAUCCUGCUCAGGGCAUUCUGCAGCCAAGGCUUCCUCCUUGUGUCUAAAAUCAUCAUGCUCUUUGCCUCAAGUCCAGUUGACAAGAUUAGACCAUAUCACUUUUCUUCUUUUCUUUCCCCUCAUGGUGUUCCCCUGAUAGAGGAAGCAAUUUUCCUCUCUUUCGAGAGACUGGGUAUUCCAACCGGACAGCUUGGGCAAGAAUCCCGUCUGUCCCUCGGGCUGAAGGGACCAUGACUGACAGGCCCCUCAGAAGCACCUGGACUUUCCUAUACUUUGACCACUCUGGUCUCCUAUACUACUCCUGUCCAGACAAGACACGCUUAAGGCUCCUAGUGAUGCUGCUGCAACUUUCUUUUUUUUUUUCUUGAACGUGAUCUACUUCUCGACAGUUUCUAGCUGUGAAAAACUUUCCAGUUAUGUCUUGUGACUCAUGGAAUACAGGCAAGACAAUAAGCUGUUACGGCACAAAGUGGCAAUAACUAGGCCAAAUCUUGGAGUCGGUGGGAAAGAAAGCCAAAGAAAUGUGUAAUAAGGCCUCACAGGAAGAGUUUGAUUGGAGAAAUAAUACCCCAAGUAGGUAUUCUCCAUCCAAUUCUCGUUACGUCCGUACACCAUUUGCCUACAGAGAUUCUAACAUAGCAACUGAAUUUUUUUUAACCUCAGGCAGGGAACACAACUAUUUUACUGAUCUAAUAAUCCAGCAGGUACUUCUCGUUUGGCCAAAGCAGUCCCUAUUUUUAGGUUGCAUUUGAAGGUGUCCGAAUAGCCCGCCCGUCCCUGCCCUAGCAUCUUACACAGGCCUGCUUCAUUCAUGCCUGCUACCGUCUGGCCCUGUCAAUAUUUGAGGUUUUGAGCUAUGGUUUAAGGGCUUGAUGAUUUCUGCUAAACUGAAAACCCUUUUAAAAGAAUGUGUACUGUGGGGGCACUGGACUGGCUCAGUCAGUUAAGCAUCUGACUCUCGAUUAUAGCUCAGGUCAUGGUCACGGCCUUGUGAGAUUGAACCAGAGCCCCACACUGGGUUCCAGGCUUCUGGAAUCUGCUGGAGACUCCCUCUCCUUCUGCCCCUCCCCCUGCUCAUGCCGUGUCUCUCUCUCUCUCUCUCUCUCUCUCUCUCUCUCAAAUAAAUACAAUCUUAAAAAAAAAAAUAAAAAAAGAAUGUGUACUUUAAAUUGUUUUUGGUUAUUUACACCAUUGUGAAUGCUUUUCUCAACUGUUUUUCAUGGGAAAGAAGACUAGAAAAAAAGUCUUGACUAUGCUGGUAAGACUGGAGGAUAAAACAGGACCAAGACUGCAGUAAGCAGGUGCCUAUCCCCCAAAUUGAAGGGGGGGGGGGGCGCUCACUCUCCAAUGACACCUCCAGCUCCAGCAGCUCUGAGUGUCACCUCCACUUUCACGCCCCGUGUGACUGACUGGCUUGCUCCCUUGUCCUGGCACCAAAGGAUAAGGGUAACGUUUAACCAGAUUCGGUUUCCGUGACUUGCAGUGAACUCACCCGGAUGAAUGCCCCUGCCCCCCACCGUGAACUGGGUGACUUGCUCCACCGGGAGUGCCCACAAUAUUCUGGCCAUGCCGACCCGUUCUCCUGACCCUUGCUUCUACCCCCUUACACACCCAGAGACACCAGCACUCCGCGAGCACCAGGCUGCAGUACUGUCCUCUUCACUGCUACAUCUGGCCCUGGCCCUGUGGGGUGUGAGGGAACGAUGAAGGAAUGUGCUCGUAGCAUUAAGCAGCCCAUUCCUCCCAUGGCUUGGGGACACUUGUGAAGUCCCACAUCUGCCAAAAUACCUUGCCCUUGCCAUAGACUGAUGGCAAAUUUCAGCAAAUUUUUAUUCUAAUUAUGAUGUGAUUUUUCACAAAUUUGCAUGUAAUUUCAGCAUUGCUCACUCCCCCCCCCCCCCCCACAUGUGUUCAAAAAAAAGCACUGAGCUACAUUUGCAAGUGAUGCCUUACGCGUGCUUUGCCGCUCGGUCUCCAGCAGGGCCAGCCUCCUUGACCCAAUUAGACUUCUCCACUCCCACAUGGCUAGUAAAUACAAUAAUUAAUUUAUAAGGAACUCUGAAACACCAGCUGGCAAAGAUUCCCUAUUCAUGGUUUGCAGAGAACGGAAGGAGAAUUUAGGUUGUAGGGGACUCACGAAGCGUGCGUGUCUACUCACAUCAUUUAACCCACCGAAUUUCUGAGAAUGUCAAAUUUCAAGUGUACUAAGUAAACAACGUUUGAUAAUUUAUCAUCGAUUUGCAGAAAAAAGAAACCAGCGUGACAAAAUACUCAAGAUGUAUUUGGGGAGUCCAAGAGACUUUGGAUACCUAGGAAUAUUCACACACAUCCUAAGCACUUUAUAAACUAUGUUGUUCUUAAGAGAAUGUUGAGAAGAAGGACAGUCAGCUUCAAGAUUUCCCCAUGCUUCAAGGUAGAGGCACCAGCACCGGCCAUCUCCUAGAGCACUGGCCCGGCCGAGAGCCGUGGUAGGCACAAUUUUAAGGCGGCUUCCAAGAUUCUUCCUCCUGGCAUACGAGUAUUAUGCCCCUCUCUGAAUGCAGCCAGAACCUGUGACUUUGACGGGAUGCCACUCCUUGCAUCCGGCUACAUUACAUGGCAAAGGUGAUGAAUGCAUUUCUCCCGAGAUCACAUUGCAUUCUGUAAGACGACAGUAGUCGUAGUGGUGGCAGCAGCAAGUAAUAAUAAUAGUGAUGGUGGUAGUGGCAGCAGCAGCACCAGAAAUAGCCUAUGGAGACAUUCUCUUGCAGGCUUUGGAGAAGUAAACCCCAUGUUGUAAGAGGGUCAAAGGCUUAGGACCUAAGGGCAGUCGCUUGGAGCUGGCCCUGGCUGACAUCUGGCCAGAAAAUGAGACUCUGUAGCUGCAAGGCACUGACUUGUGUCAAAAACCUGAAUGAGCCUGGAAGAGGACUCUGAGCCUCAGACGGAAUUGUGUACCCGUGGAGUAACUUCACUGUUGUCUGGUGAGACGCUGGGGUCAGACCUCUGACCGACAGAUACUAGGAGAUCAUAAAAUAGGUUGUUUUAAGCUAAGUUUGUGGUUGAUUGUUACAGAGCACUAGAAAACUGACACAAGAACCAACUGCUUUUUCUUUUCUCUGAGUCCUACCCUUUCCCCCUCUGCCUCCCAGCAGUCAGGGUUGUACAGUACAUCAUGCUCUUGACUGCCUGACCUGGCGGACGGGACCAAGGGCCUCUGUCUGGAAAUCAGAAGUCGGGGCCAAGAGAUUCUCAACUGGAAUCUCUUGAAUGGAAAAGAGAGAUAAAGGUGUAUGCUUUCUUAACACUGCCUCCGGGGUAUACGAGGCUCUGUGCAAAUACUUGGGGGUGUGCUGGUGGAAGCCAUCAAUAGCAAUAAUUUGAUUAGAAAAGUCAUGACAAAAAUCACAGGCCCACGUGAGGUAUAGCACUUUACUGACAAAAAUUUAGGGCAAAAAAAGGUACUAACACAGAUGUUUACUGUCCAGUCAGUGCACAUGAAAACUUUUCCUAGUUUCCAGGAUCUACUUCUUACGUUAUUUACUGUCAAGGAGACCAUUCCUGGCUAAUUUCAUAUAUCCAUCCUGCUGCAAGGAAAAGGUAGCAACACUAUUAUUAUUCACAAUGCUAUGGCUCUUUGGAACCUUUUAAAAUUGAAACAGUAUAGAUCUUCUGGCUUCUGCAGUUCCCUAAUGUCAUUUAUUGAAUUCUGAUUAUAUCAUCACUCAUCUCCUGGCAACAUCCAUUGUGCUGCCCUUGAAUAAUGGUUUCCAAUGACUCUCAAAUGUUGUUAAUGGGCUUUGUCAAUGAUGACCACCAAUGCAAGUCUUAGCCAGAGGAUGUGGGAAUAUGUAAACAAUUACUCUGUUUUAUGGUCAUGUUAAAUCAUCAUUUAGAGGUUUAUAACAUUUAUUUAUGGAGUUUCAAGCAUUAACAUAGAACAACACAUCUUCCGACCAGGUCUUCUCCUGAACUAAUAAGCCUUGAUCACUGCACUGCUAGAAUGUGACCUUUCUCAUGUUGACCACAAUCCUGCCUCCACCCACCAGUUAGCAGUACUAAGGAUAGAUGAGGGGCCCUGGGCAGAGCAAGAAGGGCAGUAAGCCAUAUCUAUCCCUUGUCCCACAGGGCUUAAGACCAACCCAGGACAGCAGAAUGUCACCACACUGAUUAAAGGCAAGAAAUGACUUUAAUAGGAAGGGGCCAUUCACUUUGCAGUACUAGUCUAGAAAGUUCUAGGAAAGGACAAGAAUGACCAUGACCAGGGUUUUCUGACAUAUAGCACAUAGCUUACAAAAGGGUGGUAUGACUGCCCUGGCCACCAACAAUGGGUUGAGGAGGAACCCCAGAUCAAAGACCUGUGAGCUACUCAUAACUCUCUCAGUGGCUCCUCACCAGGUGGCUCCUAGGUCUGAAUACAAACAGGUAAGCACCUGUGUACCACCUCAUACAGGCUGCCCACGGAGGAUGGUGGCUAGCCCAGGUCCUGAACCCAUUCUGUGUCCACAGUAUUGAAAAUCACCCCCAAAACAGUGAAUCAGUCUCAUUCUCAUGGCUGAACAUUGGUGCAACUCCAUGGAAAAAAUACUGCCCUUGUGAUGGAAUGAGCACUGGGAAUUAUAGAAGACAGAUGGAUCACUGAUCUCUACCUCCUAAACCAAUAAUACACUGUAUGUUAACUCAUUGAAUUCUUUAAAAAAAACUUUAAAAAUAAGAUAAGGACAGACUGCCCUGGCCAGUGGCUCACCAGGAAUAGACCAUGCAGCCCGAGACCUACCCCCAUAGGUAUAAGUCCCAGAGCUUGUCGGGCACCUGGUGGGCUCCGAUGACCGUAAGAGGGAGUUACUGUCGAGAGGACUUUGCGAGGGAGAAAUAGGAACUGAGGCCCAUAAGGUCCAGGUCCAGGUGUAGAGUGUCCCACCCAGAAGGGCUUUCUGACCAGGCCAAACCCACCAGCAACAACAGAAUAUUUGAGGGCUUCCAUUGCCAAGACCCAUACUGAAACUGGGUUCUGGCUCCAGGGUACCAGAGGGGUCCUAGAAUAUCUGGAGAAGGUUCUCCAAAGGGUGGGCCCUUUGUUAUGAGCCCUGCUUGUUCACGUCUAAGUCAGUAUGUACUCCUUCUACCCAUCCCGUAAAUGAAGCAACAGGGGAAGUUGGUCUACGGAAAAGAAAGAACCAUACUCAAACAGAGAGGCAGUGACGAGAGAUUGGCGAAGAGUGCCAGAUGCCCUGUCACUCUCCUGGAUUGGUGUUGCGCUCUUGCCCUGCUAGUCCAUCAAACACCUUCUCUUUAUAUUAGCUCCUUCCCCUUUCUAUUGGUUAAGCCAUUUCACUGUGAUGUUUGUUAUCUGCAAAGAGCUGUAGUGCAAUACCCAGAGCCAGAUUCUUAGCUUUGUGGAUGCAGGAACUCGACUUUAUUCCUUCCACCAGUGCUAAUUAACCUCUUGGGGAUCAACAUGCUAAGAGGACCCAUAAGAAACUGAUAUGCGUCUCAGAAUGUCAAUUUACCAAUCUAUAAAGAGGGCUAAAUCUAAAAAAAAAUAGUGUGUGUGGAGUAUUCACUCUGGGUGUUUUGCCACGGUAGCGUCAGUGUACUCAGGAGGAGAAAAAUCACUCAGAGGCUUGUUCGGUGAGCAUAAGCUUAGAAGAAAGAGAAUGGGUGGUCUGGAGGAAUUUUUCUUUCAAGUUGGGAUACUUGAAAUUCCUUUUCUGUUCUAGGAAUAUUUCUCUUUGACAAGUUAGUUGUAAUCCCUGAACACAAACAGCCCUCCCUUCUGGUCAUUACCAGAUAUAUUCUUACGUCUUGUUUCAUUGUUAUCUCAGACUUACUGUAAAUCAUCUUUCUGUUGACAUACGAUGCUCACAGAAAACGUUUACCAACUACACUUGAUUGACUUUGGUACAUUAACUGGAUGUCAUUCGCCAGCUCUAGCCUUUAAUGGAAUAAUGAUAGCCAUCACUUAUUGAGUUAUAGUUAUCAGGCACCUUAAAUGAGUUAUCACACUCCUUUUGGUGAUUCUGAAAUACAGGUGCCAUUAUCAUCAUCUUUACUUCCUCCACGAAGAAACAAAAUAUGGAUCAAGCAAUUCGCCUGAGGUCACAUAGUUAACAUGUAGUGGAGCUGGGACUGCAAACCAAGAAAUCAGACUUGAGUCCCUGUAUGUUCACCACAUGUUACGUUUUACAGCCCUUCAAGAGGUACCUACCGUUUUAAACCUCGAUUUCCCAUCUGAACAAAGCUAAUAGUAUCUUUCCUAAAGAUUGGGAGGAUUCUAAAUGUUAUCACGAAUAUAAAGCUCUUACCACACUACUGAAUAUAUGGUGACAAAUAAAGAGUAGCUUUUAUUACCUGUGAAAGAAUUCCCUCAGGCAUAUGGAUUGGCUUUAGGAGAUCUUUGUUCACCUUCAUGUCAAAACUACAAACCAGAUGCUAGAAUGAGUUGAUUUUAUUUUCAGGUGGCUAGUUUAAUCAAUUGCAUGCUAAUCCUUCCAACCUCACUUUUAAAUCGUAUUUUAUUACUCCAUUUCCAAAUUCUGAGGACCUUUCUGGAGGGUAGAGCCACCCUCCCCUCUGUCCUGUAAUAUCUGCACAUAUUGCACUAAACCCAGCCACCACUUCACACCACGCCACAACGUCGCCUAAUGUCGCUGCCGUACUUGUAACCUAAGGAGUGAAUUUUACUUUCCACAGGUUCCCAGAUUAAAAUUAGGGAGUUUCUUAGGUAUGAGUGUUAAAUCCAGUGACAUUUUAUUUACUUAAAUUCCUUGUUCUUUUGUUUGAGUAAGACCUAUUUAUUUCAAGAGCAAACGUUUUUAUAGUUGCUUGUUAAGUCAUAAUUCUAGAUAUUUUAUAACACAAGGAUUUAUGUACCAUAAUUAAGGAAAAAAACUCUGGUCAACUAAAAAAAUUUACUUUAAUAUAUCUCAAUUAUGACUCUUAUAGUGAAUUUAUGAUUUGGAACUUUAUUAAAAGUUAUCUUCCGUUCUUUUUGAGUAGCAUUUUUUCCCUGAAUGUGAACUGAACAUGCAUAAACAAGAUCGUUGAUUUAUCUGGACUUUUAGAAAAUUCUCCUUGGAUCUACAAAUGUAAACCUUAGAGACUGGAUCAUUGCCACCUUAGACUCUCAAUUCAUUCUAGAACCAAGAAUAGAUCUUUUCUUAACAGCUUUGUAAUAUGAGUUAAUAUAAGUUAUGGUAGACUCAAUAUUAUAGUUGUAAGGGAGCUCAAUUACCAUUAGGACCAGAAGGUACCCACUCACCCGUGAUACUCACCAUGUCAAGGGGGUCUGUGAUCAUGCCCUCUGCCACUCAAGUUAGUAGAAUAUUUAGCAAGCAUCUACCUGAAUGAGGGGAUAGGUGAGCUAGGUAAAUCAAAAUAUUUUUUAAACUUUUUCUUUUAAAAAAAAUGCCCAAAUGGUAAAUGUGCAGCUCAAUGGAUUUUUAGGAAAUAAAGAUACAUAGGUUUUGCCUGCUUUUGAACUUGAUGUAAACAUACAAGUUUCAUCUGGCUUUUUCAGUAUUAUACUUUGGAGUAGCAGCCACACUGUUUAAUGUGGUUGCAAUUUAUUUUCAUUUCUAUAUAUAAUAUUCCAGUGUGUGAAUACGUGACUAUUUUCCAGGGUAUCAUUAAUAAACAAUUGGAAAAUUCUAGUUUGGGGUUAUUAUGAAUGUGUGGCAAUGACCAUUAUUAUACACAUCUUUUGGUGAACAUAUGUGCAUCUCUGUUGGGAAUAUACUUAGGAGUAGAAUUUCAGGGUCAUAUGGUAUACGUAUGUUCAGACUUAAUAGAUUCUGGACAAAUGUUCUCUCAAGGAGAUACAUCAAUUGACACUUUCACUAUGUAUAAGAAUGUGUAAGAAUUUGUUGUUCCACACCCAUCUCCGACACUUGGAAUUGUCUGAAUUUUUCAGUUUAAUCAUUCUGAUGAAUAUGUAGUAGUGAUUUGCAUUUCCUUGACUUGCACUGCCAGAGCCAAGAUAAAAUAAGACCACGACUCUUUCCUGCUGAUUGCAGCUAAAAGCUCAGAUCAAAAUACAAAAAGCAACCACCCAAGGACUCCAAAAAGUAAACAAAAAUGGGCAGAUUGGGUUGAAUCAAAAGUUGGAGAAAUGCCCUCUUUGUUUUUCCUAUUUUCUCCCACAGCUUUGACCUGAGGCCCGGCAUCUAGUAAAACUAACAGCAGCACAGGUAGCAGAAACUAAGAAAAAUCCUGUCUUUCGAGCCAGACAAAUUGAGAGAAGGGGUUUCUGUGAGUCAAAGUUGGUCAGGAAAUACCUGGCUUUUUUUUCCCCCCUCUCCUUUUCUCCCUCUGGGCUUUGCCCUGAGAGCUGGGGCCUAGGCUCAGACCAAGAGAAACCCUAACUUUCCAAACAAGAGAAAUAGGAAAGGAGGCCUCUGUGGUAUGAAGAAUAUGGAGGGAAUCCACAUUUUUUUUUUCUCUCACCUCUUUGCCCCAGUGUGGGCCCUAGUCAGCAGCUGCAGCUAUGGAAGGCAGCUAGAACUCCAAGAAAAAUCUCCUAUUUCUGGCAGGAGGGCCAGAAAGAGGUUACUCUGCAAAAGAGAGAACAUGAGUAUCAAAAGGGGAGAUCUGUAGAAGGGGACCCCCUAAUUCUAUGCAUAAACCCACAUAAAUGGUUCUCACACCUGAACUAAGAAUUUGCAGAAAAACACAAAGCUGUUUAGCAAAGGUCUGUGAAAUGAACUACAAUUUAAACUACAGUAGCCUCCCCUUUUCAACCGGGGAUACGUUCCAACACCCCCCAGAAGAUGCCUGAAACUGCAGAUAAAACUCUAUAUAUAGUGUUUUUUUCCCUCUGCAUUCAUUGCUAUGAUAAAUUAUAGCUUACUUUAUAAACCAGGCAAGAACAACUAAUAAUGAAAUAGAACAAUUCCAGUAAUAUACUGUAAUAAAAUUUAUAUUAAUGUCGUUUCUCACUCUUAAAGUAUAUUUCUGGACUUUACUCACCCUUUUUUUUAGAUUGUAUUUAUUUAGAAAGCGCAUGUGCAAGCAGGGCGGGGUUGGGGGCUGGGGGUAGGGACAGGAGAAAGAGAAUCUCAAGCUGACCCUGCCCUGAGCCCAGAGCCUCACAUGGGACUGCAUCUCACAACCCUGCGAUCAUGACUUGAGCUGAAUGCUCAACCAGACCAGCCAUCCAGGCGCCCCUCAACCUUUUCUUUCUAUGUGAAAUGAUAAAACGCCUGUAGGAUGAGAUGAAGGGAGGUGUAUAACAGGCAUUUGUAAACUGUCCGAGGAUGAGUCAGAAGGAGAAUCAUCUGCUUCUCAUAGUUGAUCACAGGUUAACUGAAACCAGGGAAAGCGGGCAGCCCAGGUGGCCCAGCGGUUUAGCACCUUCCUUGGGCCUAGGGCGGGAUCCUGAAGACACAGGAUGGAGUCCCACAUCGGGCUCCCUGCAUGGAGACUGCCUGCUUCUGCCUCUCCCUCUGCCUGUGUCUGUCAUGGGGAAAGCAAAACCGCAGAUACCAGGAAUUAACGUACUGCCCGAGCUCCAAAAUAAUGCUGGGGUGCUGCCCGUAUAGGGCAGGCUCCAAGCAGAAUAACGCCUCUGAGAGCUGAGCUGAAAGGGACCAGCGUGCACGGAAAGUGAGACCGAAUUUGAACUUGUGGAUCUAAAUCAAACUGGACCCACCGCCUUUUAAAACCGAACAGGGCAGCACCGGUAGCCCAGCGGUUUAGCGCCUGCUUUUGGCCCAGGGCCUGAUCCUGGAGACCCGGGAUCGAGUCCCGCGUCGGGCUCCCUGCAUGGAGCCUGCUUCUCCCUCUGCCUGUGUCUCUGCAUCUCUCUGUCUCUCAUGAAUAAAUAAAUAAAAUCUUAAAAAAAUAAAAUAAAACAGAACAUCAGUAGUCCCCCAAAGCCUUUUCACAGGAACCCAGAGUCUACGCAACAUGAUAUACUCAACACGUCCAAGAUUAAAAAACAAAAACAAAACAAAACACACACAAUUACUCAAGGCCACCGAGGAUCCAUCCAUCUUCAAAGUGAGAACACAUAACCAGUUCUCAAGGCAGAAUAAGAUCAGUAACAGCUGCCACCUGCCAGCCACCAGGUGAGAAGCCGUUCUUGGGACCAGCAGUAGCGGACGACGUCUUCCCUCCAGGCGCCUGCUGCGACCUUAGGAAGGAAGCCUCGCGCUUGGUCACCCCGUGCCUAAGAGCGUUCGCGGGAGCGUCGCUGGGACGGAGGCGGGACGACGGAGCAGCCGGACACCUGCACGCACGUGCUGCGGCCUAAGAGGAACCUGGGGGUACCUCGCCGGGGGGGGGGGGGGGGGGGGUAGGUCUGCGUAUUCUACCACCGACUAUCCUUGUAGUUUAUAAACAAACUAAUUUUUAAAAAAAAGAAAAGAAGAAGAAGAAACCGGGCAGCCCGGGGGAUGCUCAGCGGUUUAGCGCCACCUUCGGCCCAGGGCCUGAUCUUAGAGACCCGGGAUAGAGUCCCACGUGGGGCUCCCUGCGUGGAGCCUGCUUCUCCCUCUGCCUGUGUCUCUGCCUCUCUCCUCUAUGUCUAUCAUAAACAAAUAAAUAAAUCUUUAAAAAAAUAAUAAAAAAAUAAAAUUAAAAAAAAAAAAAAAGAAAACACAAGAGAGCGUCCCUCCCCUCGGAGAAAAGCAACGGGUCAAAGACACAAUUCCAACAACACUGGCAAAUACCCCGGUUCCACGCGCAUAAGGGUUAAGGUGCUGCAACUACGCAGGUGUCGAAAGCAGCGAGUCUCUAAAUGACG
rnacentral:lncRNA from 1 species